rnacentral:rRNA from 1 species
AGGACAAACGCUGGCGGGGUGCGUGAGACAUGCAAGUCGAACGAGGUGCCAUCGGGCUUGCUCGAUGGCUACCUAGUGGCGGACGGCUGAGUAACGCGUAGGUGACCUACCCGGAAGUGGGGAAUAACUGCCCGAAAGGGUGGCUAAUACCGCAUACGGUCGACGAUUCGUUUCGUCGUCCAAAGGAGUAAUCCGCUUCCGGCGGGGCCUGCGUCCGAUUAGCUAGUUGGUGGGGUAACGGCCCACCAAGGCGACGAUCGGUAGCGUGUCUGAGGAGGAUGAUCACGCCAGACGUGGGACUGAGAACCGGCCAGACUCCGUACGGGAGGCAGCAGGUACGGGUAAUUUCGACCUAAGUCGGAACGAAAGUCUAGGAGG